rnacentral:rRNA from 1 species
GUCGGGCCGGCGCCGUCCUCGGGCGUGUGCCGGUGCUCCGUGGAAUGUGCGCUUCACGCGGCCACGGCCGGCCUGGUCUGCGGUGCAAUGCGGCCGAUUGGCGAGCGACCGGGCGACGGCCAGCGCAAAUCUCGAUAUAUAUUCUAUAUCGGCUCGGCCUUUGCGUCGUCACGUGCGGCCCGUCUUGAAACACGGACCAAGGAGUCUAACAUGUGAGCGAGCGAUUGAGAUUGUCUAAUCUCAGACGCGCAAUGAAAGUGAAGUGUCGUCUGACGGCACGAGCGGAGAUCCGCCGUCACUCGUGGCGGCGGCGCAUCCGCGGGCCACGCCAUCGGCUGGCUUGCUCCUCGGAGCACUGCUGAGGCGUGGACCUAGAGCCCACACGUUGGGACCCGAAAGAUGGUGAACUAUGCCUGGCCAGGAUGAAGCCAGAGGAAACUCUGGUGGAGGUCCGCCGCGAUUCUGACGUGCAAAUCGAUCGUCUGAGCUGGGUAUAGGGGCGAAAGACCAAUCGAACCAUCUAGUAGCUGGUUCCGCCCGAAGUUUCCCUCAGGAUAGCUGGCGCUCGUGUGAUACGGAGUUUCAUCCGGUAAAGCGAAUGAUCAGAGGAGCUGGGCUCCUUGCGAGCUCAACCUAUUCUCAAACUUUCAAUGGGUGAGACGUCUCGCUGGCUUCACUGCAGCGACGACUCUGAAUCCGAGUGCCCAGUGGGCCACUUUUGGUAAGCAGAACUGGCGAUGCGGGAUGAACCGCAUGUCGAGUUAAGGUGCCUAAGCGGACGCAAAUCAGACACCAUGAAAGGUGUUGAUUGCUCACGACAGCAGGACGGUGGCCAUGGAAGUCGGCACCCGCUAAGGAGUGUGUAACAACUCACCUGCCGAAGCAAUCAGCCCUGAAAAUGGAUGGCGCUAAAGCGUUCCACCGAUACUCGACCGUCGUCGGCAGGCGACGUGCAUGCCACGUCUCAAGCCACGACGAGUAGGGCGGCGCGGUGGUGAGCGUUGAAGGCGUAGCCGCGAGGCUAGCUGGAGCCGCCAUCGGUGCAGAUCUUGGUGGUAGUAGCAAAUACACAAGCAAGAUCCUUGUGGACCGAUGUGGAGAAGGGUUCCGCGCGAACAGUACUUGGACGUGGGUGAGUCGGCCCUAAGCCAACGGGUAAUUCCCGCAUCCCGUGUUUGUCGCGUUACUGAAUCGAGCAACCUGGGUUGAU